rnacentral:ncRNA from 2 species
GUCUCCAAGGAGCGUUGCAGCAGGCUUAAGCAGCUUGUCAGGCUUGGAUACUCACAACGACGCUCACCUGAU